rnacentral:lncRNA from 1 species
GUGGGCACCUACAUUGUAUUAAUAUCUAAAGAUUUUAAGGUUAAGCAUUCUCAAACAAUUCACCUAACUCCAAAAUUAUAUUUUUUCACCAUUUUUCCGUUUCCAUGAUGAUGGCAGCCAUUUUUUUAGUGCCAAUAUUGAAAAGCAACAGGAAAGUCAGGGUUCCUUGUUAUAGUGCACCAUCAUUCAGAUUGGUUCCUUUGGCUCUGAGAAAGCGAGCGGACAAAAUUAGGUGGAAGAAAAAUAAUAAUAAUAAUACGAAAAAAGAAACAGAG